rnacentral:lncRNA from 1 species
UAUAUCACACCAAGAACUUGUGGCCUUUAAUGUUUCUUCCUUCCCUAGUUUUUUUAUCACCUUAGGGCUUGUUUGGUUCGCGGGAAAAGAAGGAGGGAAAGUGUGAUCAAUGGAAAAAUAAUGAGAUACCUCUUGUUUGGUUGGAAUUUUCAAAUAAGUGAGACGGGAAAGUUGUAUUCCUAUGGGAAUAUGAUUCCCACAUUUCAUGAAAAAAUCUUUUCCAUGAGAAACAUGGAAAAGUUACUUUCCCAUGAGGCGGGAAUCACUCCAUUUUUAUUUUUUCCCAAAAAGACCCUUCAGCAUUAAAGAAGCAUUAAAGAAACAUUAAAGACCUAAUUUUUAUUAAGGGCAUAAUACAAAUUAUACAUAACUUUCUCAGAAAAGUGGAUGGUCAACCAAACAUAAGUACUUUGGAAAUUUGUCACUUUUCCAUGGUUAACCAAACAUGCCAAAAAUACUUUUCUAGGCAUCUACUUCCUAGGAAUCUGUUUUCCAGGAAUCAUAUUCCUAGGAGGGAAAAUGCUUUGUGCGAACCAAACGGG